AUACUUCUCUGGGGCCGGGGCCUCGUUGAGCACAGCGGAGGAGCUCUCAGGGAGAGCCACGGGCAUUGCACUGCACUCGCGUUGACACCUGCCACUUCCCCAAACUUGAGAAGAUGGGGCAUAGAAAUUGCUUAAGUUAAGAGAGGCCGCAAAAAUUUUGG
rnacentral:snRNA from 1 species